ensembl:snoRNA
CUGAGUCUGUGAUGAUUGAAGUUAUCCCUGUCUGAAGGCGCUCAGAAAGGCCUUUCUGUGGAGUUGGGAUGUCUGAGACUCGG